rnacentral:rRNA from 1 species
AGAGUUUGAUCCUGGCUCAGAACGAACGCUGGCGGCGUGGAUAAGACAUGCAAGUCGAGCGAUGAUUAGUGGGUAGCAAUAUUCGCUAGUCGUAGCGGCGCAAGGGUGCGUAACACGUGGGCAAUCUGCCUUAAAGACUGGGAUAACUCCGAGAAAUCGGAGCUAAUACCGGAUGUGACUCCUGAACGGCAUCGUUUAGGAUUUAAAGUCGGGGACCGUAAGGCCUGACACUUUUAGAUGAGCCCGCGGCCUAUCAGCUAGUUGGCGGGGUAAAGGCCCACCAAGGCUAAGACGGGUAGCUGGUCUGAGAGGACGACCAGCCACACUGGAACUGAGACACGGUCCAGACACCUACGGGUGGCAGCAGUCGAGAAUUUUUCACAAUGGGCGCAAGCCUGAUGGAGCGACGCCGCGUGGGGGAUGAAUGGCUUCGGCCCGUAAACCCCUGUCAUUUGUGACCAAGACUUUCCGGUGAAUAAUCGGAAAGGUUGAUGGUAGCGGAAGAGGAAGGGACGGCUAACUCUGUGCCAGCAGCCGCGGUAAUACAGAGGUCCCAAGCGUUGUUCGGAUUCACUGGGCGUAAAGGGUGCGUAGGCGGUUGGGUAAGUCCGACGUGAAAUCCCAGAGCUCAACUCUGGAACUGCGUUGGAAACUAUCCAGCUAGAGGAUUGGAGGGGGGACUGGAAUUCUCGGUGUAGCAGUGAAAUGCGUAGAUAUCGAGAGGAACACCAGUGGCGAAGGCGAGUCCCUGGACAAUACCUGACGCUGAGGCACGAAAGCUAGGGGAGCAAACAGGAUUAGAUACCCUGGUAGUCC